UACGUAGGGUGCAAGCGUUGUCCGGAAUUAUUGGGCGUAAAGAGCUCGUAGGCGGCUUGUCGCGUCUGCUGUGAAAACCCGAGGCUCAACCUCGGGCCUGCAGUGGGUACGGGCAGACUAGAGUGUGGUAGGGGAGACUGGAAUUCCUGGUGUAGCGGUGAAAUGCGCAGAUAUCAGGAGGAACACCGAUGGCGAAGGCAGGUCUCUGGGCCACUACUGACGCUGGAGAAAGCGAAAGCAUGGGGAGCGAACAGG
rnacentral:rRNA from 1 species